rnacentral:misc_RNA from 1 species
ACCUCUGCCUAAUAGUGCUAAUCUCACCUCUGUGACUACUGUAUGGAAAACAAAUUCCUUUUCUACAUUUCAUCACAUGUAUUUAUUAAACUAAUAUAAAAGUUUGGUAAUCACUGAUUAAGUACAGCGACUUCAAGUUUCCAUCCCUAAACUACUUUAUUCUCACCCGCACACUCGCAAGAUAUUUCGCAGCUCACGGAGAAGGAAGUGCUGGAGUGAGCACUGAGCACUAGGCAGCCACAUCCGCAGCAGGACUGGAGUGACUUGCUUUCCACAUGGAUUGGCUGUGGAAAUUCUUCAGUUAUAAGGGCAGACCAAGAGAAGAUGACAACCCUUUCAGAAGCUUAACUUGGGAGGAGAUUGUAAAGCAGAGAGACUUGAAGGACUUGCAAGAUUCUGAGGAGAUGCAACACCCAUGGGGAUACUCCCACCAUGGCGACUUCCCCAAUACUGACAUGUUCUUACCUCAUCAAGAAUUAUUAGGCCAAAUGGAUGACAUGUUUUCCAAACUGGAAGACAUGAUGAGGGAGAUGCAUCAUCACCCGGCCUGGGAACUGCCAGAUAUACAGGCAGAACCUGAGCCACAAACUCCACGAGACUUCAUGCUGAAGGUCCCUGAAAAUGACCAGACCAAGAUAGUGCCAGCUCCUGCUCCCCACCACCCACUACAUAGGCCUGAGGAUGAAAUGCUAGACUCCCAGAAUGAUGACUCUAGUCAACAUACAAAUCCGUUCUCUUUCAGUCCUCACAGCUUCUUUGAUGGAAUCUUCCAGCAGUUUGGAAUGCAUCCUAGUAAAACACCUUUUCCAGAUAACCUUCCUGGAUCAAACCCUGAGGAGCAUUCCUGCGAGUCAUUGAUGAAAAAAGAAGACAAUGACAUUGAUGACAGGGUGUUGGGUGAUCUUUCCAAGUUGCCAGAGGGUGGACCAGGCUAUUCGCAUGGGUUGCUACAAACUUUCGAGCCAAGAAGGGCUCCGUGGUCUCAUCCUGAAUCCCCUGGGUCUCCUGAUGUUGGAAUCCGCCACAAAUUUUAUUCACAGUCAAUUGUCACUAUCAAAAGACCAGAUGGAUCAGUAGAGGAAACCAAGAAAUACAGUGACAGCACUGGUCGCGAAGAGGUGAUAGUGACCCACAAACAAUCAGAGGACGGAAAUCAUGGUGUUGGUGCUCUACUGCCAGAGGAUGUGUUGCAGUCAAGUGUUCUACUUGACUGAACAAACAUCAAAUCAUAAUGACAGUGACAGUGAUAAUGGAGACAGCAGCAAUGAGGUGGCAAUGGCUCUACUCAUUAACCCUGCAGCUGCCUCACAACUCCAUCCCAUAGAUACCAGUGUCCCUUUGGAAGAAAGUGAUGCGAUAAUUGGAGUAUGUCUGACCCUGUACUCUGCGAUGCUGUUUCUCAAAGUGCUGGUUGCACCAACGCACAGCCACCUGACAGGCCUGACCAAUAGCAGGGCUUUUCUUCAGCCCAUCCAUUUCCUGCAGCACUA